GAUGAACGCUGGCGGCGUGCCUAAUACAUGCAAGUCGAGCGAAUGGAUUAAGAGCUUGCUCUUAUGAAGUUAGCGGCGGACGGGUGAGUAACACGUGGGUAACCUGCCCAUAAGACUGGGAUAACUCCGGGAAACCGGGGCUAAUACCGGAUACUAUUUUGAACUGCAUGGUUCAAAAUUGAAAGGCGGCUUCGGCGGUCACUUAUGGAUGGACCCGCGUCGCAUUAGCUAGUUGGUGAGGUAACGGCUCACCAAGGCAACGAUGCGUAGCCGACCUGAGAGGGUGAUCGGCCACACUGGGACUGAGACACGGCCCAGACUCCUACGGGAGGCAGCAGUAGGGAAUCUUCCGCAAUGGACGAAAGUCUGACGGAGCAACGCCGCGUGAGUGAUGAAGGCUUUCGGGUCGUAAAACUCUGUUGUUAGGGAAGAACAAGUGCUAGUUGAAUAAGCUGGCACCUUGACGGUACCUAACCAGAAAGCCACGGCUAACUACGUGCCAGCCGCCGCGGUAA
rnacentral:rRNA from 1 species